rnacentral:tRNA from 2 species
GGUCCCAUCGUCUAGCCCGGUCUAGGACGCUAGGUUCUCAUCCUAGUAACUGGGGUUCAAAUCCCCAUGGGACUACCA